rnacentral:rRNA from 1 species
UACGUAGGGUGCAAGCGUUUGUCCGGAAUUAUUGGGCGUAAAGAGCUCGUAGGCGGUGUGUCACGUCGUUCGUGAAAACCUGCAGCUUAACUGUGGCGUGCGGUCGAUACGGGCAUCACUGGAGUUCGGCAGGGGAGACUGGAAUUCCUGGUGUAGCGGUGAAAUGCGCAGAUAUCAGGAGGGAACACCGGUGGCGAAAGCGGCUCUCUGGCCCGGAUCUGACGCUGAGGCG